UAUUAUGUACAUAUUUUCAGGAC
rnacentral:siRNA from 1 species